GUGAGAACCUACCCUUAGGAUGGGGACAACAGUUGGAAACGACUGCUAAUACCCGAUGUGCCGAGAGGUGAAAGAUUUAUCGCCUAGGGAAGGGCUCGCGGCUGAUUAGCUAGUUGGUAAGGUAAAGGCUUACCAAGGCGACGAUCAGUAGCUGGUCUGAGAGGAUGAGCAGCCACACUGGGACUGAGACACGGCCCAGACUCCUACGGGAGGCAGCAGUGGGGAAUUUUCCGCAAUGGGCGAAAGCCUGACGGAGCAAUACCGCGUGUGGGAGGAAGGCUCUUGGGUUGUAAACCACUUUUCUCAGGGAAGAAUAGAUGACGGUACCUGAGGAAUAAGCAUCGGCUAACUCCGUGCCAGCAGCCGCGGUAAUACGGAGGAUGCAAGCGCUAUCCGGAAUCAUUGGGCGUAAAGCGUCCGCAGGUGGCCUAUCAAGUCUGCUGUCAAAGCGCAGAGCUCAACUCUGUAAAGGCAGUGGAAACUGGUAAGCUAGAGUACGGUAGGGGUAGCGGGAAUUCCCAGUGUAGCGGUGAAAUGCGUAGAUAUUGGGAAGAACAUCGGUGGCGAAGGCGCGCUACUGGGCCGAAACUGACACUGAGGGACGAAAGCUAGGGGAGCGAAAGGGAUUAGAUACCCCUGUAGUCCUAGCCGUAAACGAUGGAAACUAGGCGUGGCUUGUAUCGACCCGAGCCGUGCCGAAGCUAACGCGUUAAGUUUCCCGCCUGGGGAGUACGCACGCAAGUGUGAAACUCAAAGGAAUUGACGGGGGCCCGCACAAGCGGUGGAGUAUGUGGUUUAAUUCGAUGCAACGCGAAGAACCUUACCAAGGCUUGACAUGUCGCGAAUCCUGCUGAAAGGUGGGAGUGCCUUAGGGAGCGCGAACACAGGUGGUGCAUGGCUGUCGUCAGCUCGUGUCGUGAGAUGUUGGGUUAAGUCCCGCAACGAGCGCAACCCUCGUUUUUAGUUGCCAGCAUUAAGUUGGGCACUCUAGAGAGACUGCCGGUGACAAACCGGAGGAAGGUGGGGAUGACGUCAAGUCAGCAUGCCCCUUACGUCUUGGGCAACACACGUACUACAAUGGUCGGGACAAAGAGCAGCGACCUCGCGAGAGUAAGCGAAUCUCAUCAAACCCGGCCUCAGUUCAGAUUGCAGGCUGCAACUCGCCUGCAUGAAGGAGGAAUCGCUAGUAAUCGCAGGUCAGCAUACUGCGGUGAAUUCGUUCCCGGGCCUUGUACACACCGCCCGUCACACCAUGGAAGCUGGCCACACCCGAAGUCGUUACCCUAACCUUUCGAGGAGGGGGACGCCGAAGGUAGGGCUAGUGACUGGGGUGA
rnacentral:rRNA from 1 species